UUGACGCUGGCGGCAGGCUUACACAUGCAAGUCGAGCGGAGAGAGGUAGCUUGCUACUGAUCUUAGCGGCGGACGGGUGAGUAAUGCUUAGGAAUCUGCCUAUUAGUGGGGGACAACAUUUCGAAAGGAAUGCUAAUACCGCAUACGUCCUACGGGAGAAAGCAGGGGAUCUUCGGACCUUGCGCUAAUAGAUGAGCCUAAGUCGGAUUAGCUAGUUGGUGGGGUAAAGGCCUACCAAGGCGACGAUCUGUAGCGGGUCUGAGAGGAUGAUCCGCCACACUGGGACUGAGACACGGCCCAGACUCCUACGGGAGGCAGCAGUGGGGAAUAUUGGACAAUGGGCGCAAGCCUGAUCCAGCCAUGCCGCGUGUGUGAAGAAGGCCUUAUGGUUGUAAAGCACUUUAAGCGAGGAGGAGGCUACUUUAGUUAAUACCUAGAGAUAGUGGACGUUACUCGCAGAAUAAGCACCGGCUAACUCUGUGCCAGCAGCCGCGGUAAUACAGAGGGUGCAAGCGUUAAUCGGAUUUACUGGGCGUAAAGCGCGCGUAGGCGGCUAAUUAAAGUCAAAUGUGAAAUCCCCGAGCUUAACUUGGGAAUUGCAUUUCGAUACUGGUUAGCUUAGAGUGUGGGAAAAGAUGGUAGAAUUCCAGGUGUAGCGGUGAAAAUGCCUUAAAAUCUUGGAGGAAUACCCAUUGGC
rnacentral:rRNA from 1 species